AAUAAGACAUUCGUCGCACACACACACACACACACACACACACACACACACACACACACACACACACCAGCAGCGAGUCUUCAGAGUGCGCUUCACCACUCUCACCCGUCCUCUUGCCCCUCACCCUCCCGCUUUGGAGGGUCACGUACACUUUCAUCUGCAUGUGUCAGCUGUCCCUUACUGGAAGGCCGAGCACGGCCCUCGUGUCGACCUCAUUUCACUCGCGCUGGCAAAAAAAAAGCGAGAGUAUUGGUGCACUGACACACGUGCUCUCUCUUGCGCAAUUCGGACAGCGUGCGCUCAUGCCUUGAGGGCAUCAAAGCCGAGCUCGUCAUCCACUGCCUCGCUGUCGGCACUAUCUACACACGAAUGCUCACACCUUUGUCCUCUCUUGAUACGGACCGCUGUCUUGUUCCUUUUCUCGUCCUUGUGCACUUCUUUCACUCAUUCGGCCGAUUUUCUUUUUGUUUCAAUGUUGGAGUGCCUCUUCUCGCCCCAGAACGUCCCCCCUCUCUGGCCGUCGCCAAACGCCGCCCUUCCUCAUUGCCCGUCAUCCUCAUAACGCAUGCAGGCUGGCACACGAUAGGCGAGUGCGAGUGCGUUUUUUUUUUUUGUGUGUCUCCCACUUUCCUCGCUCCCCAUCACGUGCGCGUAUGCCUGUCUUGCUUGUUUUGCGCUCUUGCGGUUUGCACGUUGUUUUCUCAGGAUCCCUGUCGUCUACACAAAUAUGCGCAUCCUCCUCUUGAUCGCCGCGAUUGUGGGGUGCUGAUGGGAAGGAAAAGGAAGCCCGCUUUCACGCAAUCACAGCGGGCGACUCUCACAGCAACAUUCCGCCUGAGCUGUCGAACGUGCUUUGCUCUCUUCUGCUCCCACUUGCUCCUUCUACUUCAGCCCUCCUUUUCUGUUUUUCCCCUUUUUUUUCGUGGCUCUCUCUGAGCUAGUGCAGCCGUGCAUGCAGGCGAGCUCUGCCACUUAAUCUCUUCUCCCCACCUCGUCUUCUCUCUGGUGUGUUGGUGAAGAUGGACGUCAGGGACCAGUGCUGCUGCUGCUGCUGCUGCUCGUGUUCAUAUUUUUUACUUUCUAGAGCUUCGCAGUGUAUGCAUACAUAUGCAUGCAUAUGUAUGCACAUAUUCUGCUCUGUCAGCCUGGGCGGCGUAUUUCCCGACGGUAGUGACAAGGAGAAGUUAUUGAAAGCAAACAUGAGCCGUGAUGGCCUUCAAGAGCCUCAUCAACAGAAUCCUGGACGCUGCAUGCUAGCCUUUAACUCUUCUAGUGACCCCUUCGAUACCCGGAAAGCUCGCUUUCCCACCUAUGUUAAUUUCUUGUGGACCCCCGCUCGUCACGUCCGCAUCCACCUCAUCUUAGAGGCGGAACCGCCACGUCGUGAGAACUAUCAAGCCAUAAGGCAAAGAC
rnacentral:misc_RNA from 1 species